rnacentral:rRNA from 1 species
UACGUAGGGGGGCAAGCGUUGUCCGGAAUCAUUGGGCGUAAAGAGCGCGUAGGCGGCCCUGUAAGUCCGCUGUGAAAGUCAAGGGCUCAACCCUUGGAUGCCGGUGGAUACUGCAGGGCUAGAGUCCGGAAGAGGCGAGUGGAAUCCUGGUGUAGCGGUGAAAUGCGCAGAUAUCAGGAGGAACACCGAUGGCGAAGGCAGCUCGCUGGGACGGUACUGACGCUGGAGGCGCGAAAGCGUGGGGAGCAAACAGG